rnacentral:lncRNA from 1 species
GACUGAAAGGUUUAAUUUUAUUGGAACCCAUCACAUGAUAGCAUUCUUUAUUCUUGAGCAAAUGGUAACCAUAUAUUACAAAGUUUAAGAAUUCUCACUUUUUAAACUUUGGCUAAGUUGCUUCUCUUUUUAAAAUUUAAGACGUUCUUUUCCUGUAAGUAUUUUAUACUCCAGGGUAUAAAAUUGCUCCCUAGAACUAUGCAAUAUUUGUGAUUAUAGAAUAUUUUAGUAUAGCCAAGAACCAAAACAUUAGUUCAAAUAGCAAAUGAAAUCAGAUACUUAAAAGAGCCAAGUUAAUUAUACCUGGAAAAAGACCCUCCCUCACUUUGCUGAAUAAAAAUGUAGCCAGUUAUCUCCAUUUAAGGUAGACUCGGUGCAGAUUAUGUUAUAUUUAGGGAAAUUUUUCUCUUCCUUAAUAUGAAUUGUCUUUGAUAAUUAUUUUUUGCCUUUGGG